GACGAACCGUGCGAACGUUGUUCGGAAUCAUUGGGCUUAAAGGGCGCGUAGGCGGCUUCGCAAGUCUGGGGUGAAAUCUUUCGGCUCAACCGGAAAAUUGCCUGGGAUACUGCGAGGCUCGAGGGAGGUAGGGGCGAUCGGAACUUCCGGUGGAGCGGUGAAAUGCGUUGAUAUCGGAAGGAACGCCGGUGGCGAAAGCGGAUCGCUGGAUCUCUUCUGACGCUGAGGUGCGAAAGCUAGGGUAGCGAACGGG
rnacentral:rRNA from 1 species